rnacentral:rRNA from 1 species
UACGAAGGGGGGCUAGCGUUGCUCGGAAUUACUGGGCGUAAAGCGCGCGCAGGCGGCUAUCCAAGUCAGUGGUGAAAGCCCGGAGCUCAACUCCGGAACUGCCAUUGAAACUGUUUAGCUUGAGGAUGAGAGAGGUGAGUGGAAUUCCCAGUGUAGAGGUGAAAAUUCGUAGAUAUUGGGAAGAACACCGGUGGCGAAGGCGGCUCACUGGCUCAUUACUGACGCUCAGGCGCGAUAGCGUGGGGGAUCAAACAGG